GUAAGGAAUAUUGGUCAAUGGGCGCAAGCCUGAACCAGCCAUGCCGCGUGAAGGAUGACGGCCCUAUGGGUUGUAAACUUCUUUUGUACGGGAAAAAACCUCUGGUCGCGAAUCAGAGCUGAUGGUACCGUAAGAAUAAGCAUCGGCUAACUCCGUGCCAGCAGCCGCGGUAAUACGGAGGAUGCAAGCGUUAUCCGGAUUCAUUGGGUUUAAAGGGUGCGCAGGCGGAGUGAUAAGUCAGUGGUGAAAGCCUACAGCUUAACUGUAGAACUGCCAUUGAUACUGUCAUUCUUGAGUAUUGUUGAGGUAGGCGGAAUGUGUCAUGUAGCGGUGAAAUGCUUAGAUAUGACACAGAACACCGAUCGCGAAGGCAGCUUACCAAGCAAUAACUGACGCUCAUGCACGAAAGCGUGGGGAUCAAACAGGAUUAGAAACCCUUGUAGUCC
rnacentral:rRNA from 1 species